AACGAACGCUGGCGGCAUGCCUAACACAUACAAGUCGAACGAGACCUUCGGGUCUAGUGGCGCACGGGUGCGUAACGCGUGGGAACCUGCCCUUAGGUUCGGAAUAACUCCCCGAAAGGGGUGCUAAUACCGGAUAAUGUCUUCGGACCAAAGAUUUAUCGCCUUUGGAUGGGCCCGCGUUGGAUUAGCUAGUUGGUAGGGUAAAAGCCCACCAAGGCGACGAUCCAUAGCUGGUCUGAGAGGAUGAUCAGCCACACUGGGACUGAGACACGGCCCAGACUCCUACGGGAGGCAGCAGUGGGGAAUAUUGGACAAUGGGCGAAAGCCUGAUCCAGCAAUGCCGCGUGAGUGAUGAAGGCCUUAGGGUUGUAAAGCUCUUUUACCCGGGAUGAUAAUGACAGUACCGGGAGAAUAAGCUCCGGCUAACUCCGUG
rnacentral:rRNA from 1 species